CUUAAUAGAAAAUUUUGACAUUUAUGUUUUCAUUGAACCCAAUACUUGGUAGACUUUUUAUGGUACCAUGGUAUGUGUAGUGCUAUUACUUUAUAAUUGCCAUUUUUAACUAGUCAUAGAAAUUAUGAGAUAAAGAAUCUCUGAAUUUGCAUUUUUUUACACUGGGUAGUUGUUUAGUUAGUGCAUUGAUAUUUCACAAUUUAUAAUUUUUUACAUGAAUUUUGAAAAGUUUAUUUUAUUUCAAUUUGGAGUUCUAAUACAUAUUUAAAGUCUAAAGGAUCCAAAUUAAUCAUAGUUUGUAUUUGACAGGUAUUAGAAGUAUGGUAAUUCUUCCAGGUUACCUUUUACUCUAUAUAUAUUAUUUGAACGCCGAAGAAAGAAAAACAUACAUGUUUUAUAUUUAUUGGUCUGCCAAAGAAAGAAAAUAAUAGUCAAAGUACAUGUGUUCAAUUUAACAAUAUAACAUCAGUAUACAAUAAAACUAUUAAUUUACUACUCUGUAUUUACAGUUAUAUUUAUAUAUUAUUAUUAUUUUGUAUAAUCAAAGUAAUUAGAUUCUUUCUGAAUGAGUCACAUGUUCAAAUGUUUUUUUUUUCAUUAUCUGACUUUUUUAUUGGACAUUAUGUUUUAAUGUUCAAUAUUUAAACAGGGGAGGUAAUUAAUGAUACACCAAUAAUUUAGCUAAGUAUGGUUUGAAUCUAAGUACAAGGUUGUCUUCAUUGAGGAAUUGAGUAUGGGUUGGCAAUUUGUAUCAGCUGAUAAUGAUUUAAUAUUAGAAUCAUGUCCGUCCCAGAUUAAAAUUAUUCGAAGAAGCCCUUCUUCUUUUUAUGGAAUUUUAACCAAAUACAAGAACUAGAAUGGUAACCCCUAUGCAUUUACAAAGCCAUGUUUACUUAAUAUACUGAUACUUAAUCAAUUUGCCGUCCAUUAAAAACCAUUUACACAUUUGUUUGUUGAUUAGAGAUAUAUUUUGAUAUGCUAUUGUUAACUGUUUAUAAAGAGUGCUUCCCCUUGUACUUCUCUUUUGUUUAUAAAGAGUGCUUCCCCUUGUACUUCUCUUUUGUUUCCCACUGAACUGAAUAGGAAUAAUGUAAGUCUUUAUGUAAAUAUUUAACAACAAAUAAUACAUAUAAAAGCGGUGAUAUAGUGCUUGAAGUUUGACAAAGUUUUAUAUUUUAUAAAAUUAUUAACCUUACAAGAAGUUUAUAGUUUAUUUGUCUUUAAUUUUUAUGAAAACUGACAUUCAGUUGAUAUUACCAUGUAUGCUAUUAAACUUAUUUAAUGGUACUGGUGAUAUAAUAAUAUUUUCAAUGCAUUUAAUAUGUGUAACUUUUAAGUUAUGUUUGUUUCAAAACAGAUUGUACUGUGACUGUUAGUAAUGUUUGUUUCAAACUAGGUUGUACUUUGAGUUUAAGUAAUGUUUGUUGCAAACUAGGUUGUGUUAUGACUAAGUUAUGUUUGUUGCAAACUAGAUUGUACUGUGACUUUAGGUAAUGUUUGUUGCAAACUAGAUUGUACUGUGACUUUAGGUAAUGUUUGUUGCAAACUAGAUUGUAUUUACAAUCACAUUUUAUAAAUUUCAUAUGGUUAUUCAAUUUUUGUACAGAUUUUUUUACACAUAUCAAUAAAUUUGUGAUUUUAUAAAAAUCAAUAAACAUAGCAAAAAGGAACAUUUGAGUUGAACAUUUUUUCUGAAAUUAUUUUUGGAGAAUACUUUGAAGUGUCAUUCAGAGCUUUAUGAAAGAUGAAUAUGCUCACACUGACUGGUAAUCCAACAGCUCAUAUGGACAUUGAUUGAGAAUUGUUUCCCCA
rnacentral:lncRNA from 1 species